AAGCAGGAUGUGAANUCCCCGGGCUCAACCUGGGAAUUGCGUUNUGAACUGGGUGGCUAGAGUGUGUCAGAGGGGGGUAGAAUUCCACGUGUAGCAGUGAAAUGCGUAGAGAUGUGGAGGAAUACCGAUGGCGAAGGCAGCCCCCUGGGAUAGCACUGACGUUCAUGCCCGAAAGCGUGGGUAGCAANCAGGAUUAGAUACCCUGGUAGUCCACGCCCUAAACGAUGUCGAUUAGCUGUUGGGCAACUUGAUUGCUUGGUAGCGAAGCUAACGCGUGAAAUCGACCGCCUGGGGAGUACGGUCGCAAGAUUAAAACUCAAAGGAAUUGACGGGGACCCGCACAAGCGGUGGAUGAUGUGGAUUAAUUCGAUGCAACGCGAAGAACCUUACCUGGUCUUGACAUGUACGGAACCUUCCGGAGACGGAAGGGUGCCUUCGGGAGCCGUAACACAGGUGCUGCAUGGCUGUCGUCAGCUCGUGUCGUGAGAUGUUGGGUUAAGUCCCGCAACGAGCGCAACCCUUGUCAUUAGUUGCCAUCAUUUGGUUGGGCACUCUAAUGAGACUGCCGGUGACAAGCCGGAGGAAGGUGGGGAUGACGUCAAGUCCUCAUGGCCCUUAUGACCAGGGCUUCACACGUCAUACAAUGGUCGGUACAGAGGGUAGCCAAGCCGCGAGGUGGAGCCAAUCCCAAAAAACCGAUCGUAGUCCGGAUUGCACUCUGCAACUCGAGUGCAUGAAGUCGGAAUCGCUAGUAAUCGCAGGUCAGCAUACUGCGGUGAAUACGUUCCCGGGUCUUGUACACACCGCCCGUCACACCAUGGGAGUGGGGGAUACCAGAAGCAGGUAGGCUAACCGCAAGGGG
rnacentral:rRNA from 1 species